GUCUUAUUGAUUAUAAUUUUAAGUCUAAUCUGCCCAAUGAGUAAUUAAAUGGCUGCAGUAUUUUAACUGUACAAAGGUAGCAUAAUAAUUAGUUUCUUAAUUAGGAACUGGAAUGAAUGAUUGGACGAAAUAGUAACUGUCUUAAUUUAAAUUUUAGAAUUUUAUUUUUAAGUUAAAAAGCUUAAAUUUUUUUAAAAGACGAGAAGACCCUAUAGAAUUUUAUAUUAUUUAAAUAUUUUAUUUGAAGGAAUUAAAUAUAGGAUUUUUUAAUGAAUAUUUAGUUGGGGUGAUUGAAAAAUUUAUUGAACUUUUUUUUGUUAUUAACAUUAAUUUAUGAUUAAUAUGAUCCAAUUUUUUUGAUUAUAAGAUUAAAUUACCUUAGGGAUAACAGCGUAAUUUUUUUAGAGAGCUCUAAUCGAUAGAAGAGAUUGCGACCUCGAUGUUGGAUUAAAGUUUAUUUUUAAUGUAGGAGUUAAAAUAUUAGGUCUGUUCGACCUUUAAAACUUUACAUGAUCUGAGUUUAAACCGGCGUGAGCCAGGUUGGAUUCUAUCUUUAAUAAAAUUAAGUAUUUUAGUACGAAAGGACCAAAUAUUUAUUAUAAUAAUUUUUUUAGAAUAUUA
rnacentral:rRNA from 1 species